rnacentral:rRNA from 1 species
GAUGAACGCUGGCGGCGUGCCUAAUACAUGCCAGUCGAGCGAACAGAUGAGGAGCUUGCUCCUCUGACGUUAGCGGCGGACGGGUGAGUAACACGUGGAUAACCUACCUAUAAUACUGGGAUAACUACGGGAAACCGGAGCUAAUACCGGAUAAUAUAUUGAACCGCAUGGUUCAAUAGUGAAAGACGGCUUUGCUGUCACUUAUAGAUGGAUCCGCGCCGCAUUAGCUAGUUGGUAAGGUAACGGCUUACCAAGGCAACGAUGCGUAGCCGACCUGAGAGGAUGAUCGGCCACACUGGAACUGAGACACGGUCCAGACUCCUACGGGAGGCAGCAGUAGGGAAUCUUCCGCAAUGGGCGAAAGCCUGACGGAGCAACGCCGCGUGAGUGAUGAAGGUCUUCGGGUCGUAAAACUCUGUUAUUAGGGAAGAAAAGAUGUGUAAGUAACUAUGCACGUCUUGACGGUACCUAAUCAGAAAGCCACGGCUAACUACGUG